rnacentral:pre_miRNA from 1 species
AACAUACUCCCUCCAUCCAACAAAGAUGUCUCAAGUUUGUCAAAACUUGAAUGUAUCUAGACAUGACUUAGUGUAUAGAUGCAUUCAAAUUUAGUCAAAGUUGAAACAUCUUUUGUUGGACGGAGGAAGUAUCUU